rnacentral:rRNA from 1 species
UACGGGGGGGGGCAAGCGUUGUUCGGAAUUAUUGGGCGUAAAGGGCGCGUAGGCGGCCGUGUAAGUCUCGGGUGAAAUCCCUCGGCUCAACCGAGGAACUGCCUUGGAUACUGCAUGGCUUGAGGCCGGGAGAGGGUAGUGGAAUUCCCAGUGUAGCGGUGAAAUGCGUAGAUAUCGGGAGGAACACCUGAGGCGAAGGCGGGCUACUGGGCCGAUACUGACGCUGAUGCGCGAAAGCCAGGGGAGCGAACGGG